rnacentral:rRNA from 1 species
GAUGAACGCUGGCGGCGUGCCUAAUACAUGCAAGUCGAACGCUGGAAAUCUAGCUUGCUAGAUUGAAGGAGUGGCGAACGGGUGAGUAAUACAUAAGCAACCUACCCACGAAGACUGGGAUAAUCUCUGGAAACGGGGACUAAUACCGGAUAGGUAAUCGGAAGGCAUCUUCUGAUUAUUAAAGGUUAAACACACUGGUGGAUGGGCUUAUGGCGCAUUAGUUAGUUGGUGAGGUACGGCCCACCAAGACGAUGAUGCGUAGCCGGACUGAGAGGGUGAACGGCCACAUUGGGACUGAGACACGGCCCAGACUCCUACGGGAGGCAGCAGUAGGGAAGUUUCGGCAAUGGGGGAAACCCUGACCGAGCAACGCCGCGUGAGUGAUGACGGCCUUCGGGUUGUAAAGCUCUGUUGUAAGGGAAGAACGGUAGAUAGAGAAUAUCUAAAUGACGGUACCUUACCAGAAAGCCACGGCUAACUACGUG